rnacentral:rRNA from 1 species
CGGAGUGGACGCAUCACUGGUGUUCGGGUUGUCAUGCCAAUGGCACUGCCCGGUAGCUAAAUGCGGAAGAGAUAAGUGCUGAAAGCAUCUAAGCACGAAACUUGCCCCGAGAUGAGUUCUCCCUGACUCCUUUAGAGUCCUGAAGGAACGUUGAAGACGACGACGUUGAUAGGCCGGGUGUGUAAGCGCAGCGAUGCGUUGAGCUAACCGGUACUAAUGAACCGUGAGGCUUAACCUU